rnacentral:rRNA from 1 species
GAUGAACGCUGGCGGCGUGCUUAACACAUGCAAGUCGAACGGUGAAGCAGGAGCUUGCUCCUGUGGAUCAGUGGCGAACGGGUGAGUAACACGUGAGCAAUCUGCCCUGGACUCUGGGAUAAGCGUUGGAAACGACGUCUAAUACCGGAUACGAGACGCGAAGGCAUCUUCAGCGUCUGGAAAGAACUUCGGUCCAGGAU